GCUCUUUGUUUCAUUUCCUUUCACUAAUCUUAGCUCUUUGUUUCAUUUCCUUCACCCUCACUGGGCUUGUUUUAGGAGAGUAGAAAGACUCGCAAGAACGGAGGUUGGAUGGGAGACUAUCCCAAGCAGGUACAAAAGACACACUCCACAUCCUGGUCACCUGCUGUUUCCCAUUUAACCAUAAGAAACAGCAGAUUCCUCGUGGUUAAAGAAGCCUAAGAAGGUUCCCUUGUAGAGGCUGAAGAGCGAUUGCAUCACCAGCAGCCGGGGUCCCCGGGAAGCUGUCAUGGGUCUUCCUGGUGGUCCAGUGGCUCAGACUCUGCACUCCCCACACAGGGGGCCUGGUUUCGAUCACUGCUCAGGGAACCAGAUACCAGAUUCCACACCUAAGCACGUCACAUGCUACAACUAAAGAUCCUGCAUGCUGCACCCAAGACCAGUGCAGCCGGAUAAACAAAUAAAUAAAUAAAAUCUCCAAUGCAGCAUAGUGUUUUCUUCAGGGAUAACUCCCACCCAGUAGGGGGUGCUUUGAGGGGCCCUACAUACAGAUGUAGCCAGGCCCUGACUGUGUGACUUAACUGGGCUCAUCUGUUAUGUCAGGGAGGGUCUGGCUCACCAGCCCAGGAUAUUCUAGAACAAUGGCACCAGUCCCCAGCAUCAGCUUCCAAUGGGUCUCCUUGGGCCCAUGCCUCCCAGCUCUGAGCAGUCCUCCACCCUGGAGUAAUGCAGCCAUUUAGUACACUUGAGGCCCAGGGGGAAAUAGAUGACACAGUCCUGAUUAGUAUCGGAUUUGAUAUCUAAGAUGGGACUUGGAGAGAAUGGGCCUUGGAGGAUGGUGUAGCACCUUCAGAGCAAAGACUCUUGUGGAAGAGAUGCAAGAUGGAAGAGAGGGGAGAGGGCUUGCAGCGAACACCCCCAGAGAGUCAGCGUGUGGGAUUCAGAAAUGAAAUGCCACAGACCUUUGGAAAGGAAGGUUGAGACGUGCUUACAGGGGAAUUGGAAUGUCAAGAUGGGAGUUUGGACUCAGCUCUGAAGGUCUUGG